UUCUUGAAUAAUUUUGUAGAGCAAAUAUUUGCAAAGAAAUUGCAAACAUUAAAUUGCACUGCCGUGAAAAUUCGCAGUGAGAAAUCGGCUGGAGGUGAGCAAAGUGAAUAUUGAAAGCGAAGCCAGUGCGUGAGAAAAGCCAAUAAAGUGGAUUCAAGUAUAGCCUAAUUCGAGGCAUCGCAAAAUUGACAAAAUAAAAACAUUGUAGUGAAGAAAGAGAAACAAUAAGAAAGUAUGAACAUAUACUAUGUAAAAAAGACUUCAUCAAAACGCCUGUAUGUAUAAUUAUAAAGCCGUACAGUUAUUUAAAGUGAUCAAAAAAAAAACACACACAGAACAAGCCAGUGUAUUCGACGAUUAAAAUUCUAAAACUGUAACCACAACGAAUUGACGAAGAAAAAGCUAGAUAAAACAAGUGCAAAAAUCAAAUUAAAAAAAAAAACAAAAACAACAAAAAAUAUUAUAAAACAGCAGUGAAAACGUUAAGUUGCUAUCCUAACCGAAAAGCAAGUCAGCCCGUUUAACAUAGCGCAGUAAACAUACUCACACAUUCAUAUGUACUUAAGUAUGCAUUCGAACGUACAUACGUAUAUAGUCCUGUUGCGAAAAUCCUCCUAAGUAAUCUCCGAUUUGUUAUGGCUACCCGUUUCAAGUACUCGAAUCCGCAUACAUAAACACCAGGUUUAUUCGUGACAACGUUACAUUUUUUAUAAGCCACGUCCACGCGUCUGCAUUUGGUGCCUUUGCGUUAUUGUUAUUAGUGCGUGCGUGUU